rnacentral:rRNA from 1 species
GACGAACGCUGGCGGCGUGCUUAACACAUGCAAGUCGAACGGAAAGGCCCUGCUUUUGUGGGGUGCUCGAGUGGCGAACGGGUGAGUAACACGUGAGUAACCUGCCCUUGACUUUGGGAUAACUUCAGGAAACUGGGGCUAAUACCGGAUAGGAGCUCCUGCUGCAUGGUGGGGGUUGGAAAGUUUCGGCGGUUGGGGCUGGUCUCGCGGCUUAUCAGCUUGUUGGGGGGGUAGUGGCUUACCAAGGCUUUGACGGGUAGCCGGCCUGAGAGGGUGGCCGGCCACAUUGGGACUGAGAUACGGCCCAGACUCGUACGGGAGGCAGCAGUGGGGAAUAUUGCACAGUGGGCGGAAGCCUGAUGCAGCAACGCCGCGUGCGGGAUGACGGCCUUCGGGUUGUAAACCGCUUUCGCCUGUGACGAAGCGUGAGUGACGGUAAUGGGUAAAGAAGCACCGGCUAACUACGUG